GAGCUGUAGAUAGGUGUGAGCUGCCAUGUGAGUGCCGGGUCCCGGUGCUCUGAGCUGCUGAGGUCUCUCUCCAGACUCCAUCAUGACUUUCCUUUUUCUCUAGGGAUAUAGAAUUCAUUUGCUCCAGGCACUUUCAUUUCCUCCGUUUGGGACUAGGUAAGAGAGCAUCUCUGGGUGCUGCCAUAGUUGGUGGGAGCCAUGGCCUCCAGCAGGGAAGAGCCCUGGCUCUGAUCAGCAGGAAUAAAGCAAACGUUUGCAGACUGACACGUGGAUGCGUAAAGGAACCAAUUCUCGAUGCAAGAGUGGAAACUAAGCAAGUCUUCAGCCUGUUUCCAGAGCUUAUGAAAGACUGAGGCGCGUUUCACCUGCGAGGGCUCUCUAGGUGCGACCCACCAGCAAUGUGCGAUGGAGAUGGGCACAGCUCAAGGCUCCUGUUGGAGACACUCCACAAAGUGAGAGCUGCCUGGGCUCAGGAGCUCAAGAUCGAGAGGAUUUUGUUGAGCUGAGCGUACCUCCACUUCCCUGCUCUAGGGAGUGUCAUGAAGGCAGCAAGAGCUACUGGUCUCAGGGUCCGCGGGCGCCUGCCACAACCACCACCAACUGAGGCUCUCUCCUAAAAACAACACUCACACUCCCGUUCUCCAUCAAGCUUCUCUGCCCCCCCCCCCAUCCUUCUACCUCACAACCU
rnacentral:lncRNA from 1 species